UGCAGUCGAGCGAACUUUUGGGAGCUUGCUCCCAAAAGUUAGCGGCGGACGGGUGAGUAACACGUGGGCAACCUGCCUGUAAGACUGGGAUAACUUCGGGAAACCGGAGCUAAUACCGGAUAAUUCUUUUCUACUCAUGUAGGAAAGCUGAAAGGCGGCUUCGGCUGUCACUUACAGAUGGGCCCGCGGCGCAUUAGCUAGUUGGUGAGGUAACGGCUCACCAAGGCGACGAUGCGUAGCCGACCUGAGAGGGUGAUCGGCCACACUGGGACUGAGACACGGCCCAGACUCCUACGGGAGGCAGCAGUAGGGAAUCUUCCGCAAUGGACGAAAGUCUGACGGAGCAACGCCGCGUGAGUGAUGAAGGUUUUCGGAUCGUAAAACUCUGUUGUUAGGGAAGAACAAGUACGAGAGUAACUGCUCGUACCUUGACGGUACCUAACCAGAAAGCCACGGCUAACUACGUGCCAGCAGCCGCGGUAAUACGUAGGUGGCAAGCGUUGUCCGGAAUUAUUGGGCGUAAAGCGCGCGCAGGCGGUUCCUUAAGUCUGAUGUGAAAGCCCACGGCUCAACCGUGGAGGGUCAUUGGAAACUGGGGAACUUGAGUGCAGAAGAGAAGAGUGGAAUUCCACGUGUAGCGGUGAAAUGCGUAGAGAUGUGGAGGAACACCAGUGGCGAAGGCGACUCUUUGGUCUGUAACUGACGCUGAGGCGCG
rnacentral:rRNA from 2 species